CCCUUAGAUGUUCUGGGCCGCACGCGUGCUACACUGACGCAUACAGCGAGCACUUUCCAGUUCCGAGAGGCUACUGGUAAUCAUCAAUAUGCGUCGUGAUGGGGAUAGAUCUUUGGAAUUCUGGAUCUUGAACGAGGAAUGCCUAGUAAUCGCAGGUCAUUAGCCUGCGAUGAUUAAGUCCCUGCCCUUUGUACACACCGCCCGUCGCUACUACCGAUUUCGAGUGGUCAGGUGAAUCUUUCGGACUGUGGGCGCCCUUGAGGUGUUCGCGGAAAGUCAGGUAAAUCUUAUCACUUAGAGGAAGUAAAAGUCGUAACA
rnacentral:rRNA from 1 species